AGUGAACGCUGGCGGUAUGCCUAACACAUGCAAGUCGAACGACAGCACAGUAAGAUCUUGCUCUUACGGGUGGCGAGUGGCGGACGGGUGAGGAAUACAUCGGAAUCUACUUUUUCGUGGGUGAUAACGUAGGGAAACUUACGCUAAUACCUCAUAUGACCUACGGGUUAAAGCAGGGGUUCUUCGGACCUUUCGCGAUUGAAUGAGCCGAUGUCGGAUUAGCUAGUUGGCGGGGUAAAGGCCCACCAAGGCGACGAUCCGUAGCUGGUCUGAGAGGGUGAUCAGCCACACUGGAACUGAGACACGGUCCAGACUCCGACGGGAGGCAGCAGUGGGGAAUCUUGCGCAAUGGGCGAAAGCCUGACCCAGCCACACCGCGUGAGUGAUGAAGGCCUUCGGAUUGUAAAGCCCUGUUGUUAGGAAAGAAAAAAAGCAGGUUAAUCCCCCGCUGUUCUGACGGUACCCAAAGAAUAAGCCCCGGCUAACUUCGUG
rnacentral:rRNA from 1 species